rnacentral:pre_miRNA from 14 species
GUUUCUGUUGCUUGGGUUCCUGAGCUUGCCUCUCACUGGAAGAUCCCUGGAGCGGGGAGACCCUCACUCAAGUCUCGGGAUGAUGCGACCCCCGAAGAACUCACAUGAGACC